AUUGAACGCUGGCGGCAUGCCUAACACAUGCAAGUCGAGCGAGCGGCGGACGGGUGAGUAAUGUAUGGGGCCUGCCCGAUAGACGGAUCUAACUAAUGGAAAAGGUGGCUAAUACCGCUUACUAUCGGUUACCCCAUAUGGGAUUAGCUAGUAGGUGGGUUAAAGGCUCACCUAGGCGACGAUCUCUAGCUGGCCUGAGAGGCUUAUCAGCCACACUGGGACUGAGACAAGGCCCAGACUCCUACGGAGGCAGCAGUGGGGAAUAUUGCACAAUGGGCGCAAGCCUGAUGCAGCAAUGCCGCGUGUAUGAAGAAGGCCUUAGGGUUGUAAAGUACUUUCAGCGGGGAGGCGUUACCCGAAGAAGAAGCAACGGCUAACUCCGUGCCAGCAGCCGCGGUAAUUC
rnacentral:rRNA from 1 species